CAUCCAGCUUGGUGAAUUAUUAUACGGAUUCAUGAAAAUCAUACAUAUGGAUAUUGUGGCAUCAGUAGAAAAGUUCUAGGGAGACUGAGGCAGAAGGAAGCUUCCCAAGCUCCAGAACCGAUUGUGGGUGCCUCAUGGUGGAGGAGCUGACAGGAUGUGCGGUAAUACAGCACUUUUUAUUUUCAUAAGAACAAAAGCUUUGGAGGAAGGUAAGCCUAUCCCUUGUAAGAUCCAUUUCAUCAUAAAAAU
rnacentral:lncRNA from 1 species